rnacentral:rRNA from 1 species
GACGAACGCUGGCGGCGUGCCUAAUACAUGCAAGUAGAACGCUGAAGAGAGGAGCUUGCUCUUCUUGGAUGAGUUGCGAACGGGUGAGUAACGCGUAGGUAACCUGCCUUGUAGCGGGGGAUAACUAUUGGAAACGAUGGCUAAUACCGCAUAACAAUGGAUGACACAUGUCAUUUAUUUGAAAGGGGCAAUUGCUCCACUACAAGAUGGACCUGCGUUGUAUUAGCUAGUAGGUGAGGUAAUGGCUCACCUAGGCGACGAUACAUAGCCGACCUGAGAGGGUGAUCGGCCACACUGGGACUGAGACACGGCCCAGACUCCUACGGGAGGCAGCAGUAGGGAAUCUUCGGCAAUGGGGGCAACCCUGACCGAGCAACGCCGCGUGAGUGAAGAAGGUUUUCGGAUCGUAAAGCUCUGUUGUAAGUCAAGAACGGGUGUGAGAGUGGAAAGUUCACACUGUGACGGUAGCUUACCAGAAAGAGACGGCUAACUACGUG